CUCAGUUCGGAUUGGAGUCUGCAACCCGACCUCCAUGAAGCUGGGUUCGCUAGUAAUCGCGCAUCAGCCACGGCGCGGUGAAUACGUUCCCGGGCCUUGUACACACCGCCCGUCACACCAUGAGAGUCGGGAACACCCGAAGUCCGUAGUCUAACCCGCAAGGGAGGGCGCGGCCGAAGGUGGGUUCGAUAAUUGGGGUGAAGUCGUAACAAGGUAUC
rnacentral:rRNA from 1 species